AUUGAACGUUGGCGGCAUGCUUUACACAUGCAAGUCGAACGGCAGCGCGGGCUUCGGCCUGGCGGCGAGUGGCGAACGGGUGAGUAAUGCAUCGGAACGUGCCCAGUAGUGGGGGAUAGCCCGGCGAAAGCCGGAUUAAUACCGCAUACGACCUGAGGGUGAAAGCGGGGGACCGAAAGGCCUCGCGCUAUUGGAGCGGCCGAUGUCGGAUUAGCUAGUUGGUGGGGUAAAGGCUUACCAAGGCGACGAUCCGUAGCUGGUCUGAGAGGACGACCAGCCACACUGGGACUGAGACACGGCCCAGACUCCUACGGGAGGCAGCAGUGGGGAAUUUUGGACAAUGGGGGCAACCCUGAUCCAGCCAUGCCGCGUGCGGGAAGAAGGCCUUCGGGUUGUAAACCGCUUUUGUUCGGGAAGAAAUCCUCUGGGCUAAUACCCCGGGGGAAUGACGGUACCGGAAGAAUAAGCACCGGCUAACUACGUG
rnacentral:rRNA from 1 species